rnacentral:rRNA from 1 species
UGGGGGGACCAUCCUCCAAGGCUAAAUACUCCUGACUGACCGAUAGUGAACCAGUACCGUGAGGGAAAGGCGAAAAGAACCCCGGCGAGGGGAGUGAAAAAGAACCUGAAACCGUGUACGUACAAGCAGUGGGAGCACAGGUUUACCUGUGUGACUGCGUACCUUUUGUAUAAUGGGUCAGCGACUUAUAUUCUGUAGCAAGGUUAACCGUAUAGGGGAGCCGGAGGGAAACCGAGUCUUAAUUGGGCGUUAAGUUGCAGGGUAUAGACCCGAAACCCGGUGAUCUAGCCAUGGGCAGGUUGAAGGUUGGGUAACACUAACUGGAGGACCGAACCGACUAAUGUUGAAAAAUUAGCGGAUGACCUGUGGCUGGGGGUGAAAGGCCAAUCAAACCGGGAGAUAGCUGGUUCUCCCCGAAAGCUAUUUAGGUAGCGCCUCGUGAAUUCAUCUCCGGGGGUAGAGCACUGUUUCGGCUAGGGGGCCAUCCCGGCUUACCAACCCGAUGCAAACUGCGAAUACCGGAGAAUGUUAUCACGGGAGACACACGGCGGGUGCUAACGUCCGUCGUGAAGAGGGAAACAACCCAGACCGCCAGCUAAGGUCCCAAAGUCAUGGUUAAGUGGGAAACGAUGUGGGAAGGCCCAGACAGCCAGGAUGUUGGCUUAGAAGCAGCCAUCAUUUAAAGAAAGCGUAAUAGCUCACUGGUCGAGUCGGCCUGCGCGGAAGAUGUAACGGGGCUAAACCAUGCACCGAAGCUGCGGCAGCGACGCUGAUGCGUUGUUGGGUAGGGGAGCGUUCUGUAAGCCUGCGAAGGUGGCCUGUGAGGGUUGCUGGAGGUAUCAGAAGUGCGAAUGCUGACAUAAGUAACGAUAAAGCGGGUGAAAAGCCCGCUCGCCGGAAGACCAAGGGUUCCUGUCCAACGUUAAUCGGGGCAGGGUGAGUCGACCCCUAAGGCGAGGCCGAAAGGCGUAGUCGAUGGGAAACGGGUUAAUAUUCCCGUACUUGGUGUUACUGCGAAGGGGGGACGGAGAAGGCUAUGUUGGCCGGGCGACGGUUGUCCCGGUUUAAGCGUGUAGGUGUGUGUUCCAGGUAAAUCCGGUUCACUUUAACACUGAGGCGUGAUGACGAGGCACUACGGUGCUGAAGCAACAAAUGCCCUGCUUCCAGGAAAAGCCUCUAAGCAUCAGGUAACAUCAAAUCGUACCCCAAACCGACACAGGUGGUCAGGUAGAGAAUACCAAGGCGCUUGAGAGAACUCGGGUGAAGGAACUAGGCAAAAUGGUGCCGUAACUUCGGGAGAAGGCACGCUGACACGUAGGUGAAGUGAUUUACUCACGGAGCUGAAGUCAGUCGAAGAUACCAGCUGGCUGCAACUGUUUAUUAAAAACACAGCACUGUGCAAACACGAAAGUGGACGUAUACGGUGUGACGCCUGCCCGGUGCCGGAAGGUUAAUUGAUGGGGUCAGCGCAAGCGAAGCUCCUGAUCGAAGCCCCGGUAAACGGCGGCCGUAACUAUAACGGUCCUAAGGUAGCGAAAUUCCUUGUCGGGUAAGUUCCGACCUGCACGAAUGGCGUAAUGAUGGCCAGGCUGUCUCCACCCGAGACUCAGUGAAAUUGAACUCGCUGUGAAGAUGCAGUGUACCCGCGGCAAGACGGAAAGACCCCGUGAACCUUUACUAUAGCUUGACACUGAACAUUGAGCCUUGAUGUGUAGGAUAGGUGGGAGGCUUUGAAGUGUGGACGCCAGUCUGCAUGGAGCCGACCUUGAAAUACCACCCUUUAAUGUUUGAUGUUCUAACGUGGACCCGUAAUCCGGGUUGCGGACAGUGUCUGGUGGGUAGUUUGACUGGGGCGGUCUCCUCCUAAAGAGUAACGGAGGAGCACGAAGGUUGGCUAAUCCUGGUCGGACAUCAGGAGGUUAGUGCAAUGGCAUAAGCCAGCUUGACUGCGAGCGUGACGGCGCGAGCAGGUGCGAAAGCAGGUCAUAGUGAUCCGGUGGUUCUGAAUGGAAGGGCCAUCGCUCAACGGAUAAAAGGUACUCCGGGGAUAACAGGCUGAUACCGCCCAAGAGUUCAUAUCGACGGCGGUGUUUGGCACCUCGAUGUCGGCUCAUCACAUCCUGGGGCUGAAGUAGGUCCCAAGGGUAUGGCUGUUCGCCAUUUAAAGUGGUACGCGAGCUGGGUUUAGAACGUCGUGAGACAGUUCGGUCCCUAUCUGCCGUGGGCGCUGGAGAACUGAGGGGGGCUGCUCCUAGUACGAGAGGACCGGAGUGGACGCAUCACUGGUGUUCGGGUUGUCAUGCCAAUGGCACUGCCCGGUAGCUAAAUGCGGAAGAGAUAAGUGCUGAAAGCAUCUAAGCACGAAACUUGCCCCGAGAUGAGUUCUCCCUGAGACUUAGAGUCUCCUGAAGGAACGUUGAAGACGACGACGUUGAUAGGCCGGGUGUGUAAGCGCAG